GGAAGACAGUCUACUUAUAAAGCUGAUGCCCAAAAAUAAUGUUUUAUGCCGAGCACACACCAAAGAAACUGGCAACCGCAAUGAAACAGCGAUUUCCGAUAAAUAUCGCCGAUUUCAAGCAGGCAACUGGUUUUCAACUUAGCAGGCGCACACUGAGGAAACUUGCGUUCGAUCAGUUGCUCACAUCUUCUCAAGUCGGCGUCUUUGCCCUCCAAUUUCGUACACUUCUCUUCUACAAUGUCAGAUAAUAAUAUUGUUCCUGUAAUGAUAUGGUGGUGGUUGAGACUGCGUAAGAGGAGAAGACAGGAGAAACGGAAACAUUGGGUGCACCCGUUCUUUCGUGAUAAUUUAAACUCAGGUGUUUAUAUUGUUUCGAAAGAAUUUAAUCAGAAUACAGAACUAUUUAAAUCAUUUUACAGAAUGAGCAUUGAAAGUUUUUCUUUAUUGGUGGAUCUUGUAGGACCUCAAAUUCGAAGAUGAAGAUACAAAUUUUCGUACAGUUGUGUCAGCAGAACCGUAGUCAAAAUUAUAGUUUCGUAUAUUCUAAUUUUUGUUUUCGGACAGCAGACAAGUAGACAAAAGGUUCUGGAUCUACAUCGAACCACCGCACAGUGUAGAACACACAGAACGUAUGCACGCCCAGACAAGGAACACAUACGCCAUAUUGUACGAUCAUAUCAGUAUCCACACACCACAACCCGUACAUCAUAGAAACUUGUUGUUGCGUUUCACAACCGGGCUUACUACGUAGAAAGCUUCUACAAUAAGACCUACAAACAACAUACGUGCCCAAUUUUCUACACUGUAGCAGUGAAACUUAAUAUAUUUAAGUUGGCAUACAAUUCUUAACCUAUCAUCGAAAAACCUUUCACAUUUUUAAUAUAUAAUAUACUUUUAAUAUUUUAUAGCAUUGCAGCACAUUAUAAUUUGAUAUACGAUAUACCCUUACAUUUGUCUUAUUUAUGUAUUUGCUACUUUAUUAUAUCAUCAACUUGAGGCAAGUGUUUUAUGUCAAUACAUAACACGGCGUGUAGCACCUAUAAGGAUCCGUAUCGGUAUUUCAAUGACCGUUCAAUGACUAUACGUACAACUGCCUGAUGGUCUUAUGUAACCGAGCUUUAUACGAUCAAAAAUAAAACUGAAUAUUUGUUGU